CACGUAGGGGGCGAGCGUUGUCCGGAUUUAUUGGGCGUAAAGAGCUCGUAGGCGGCUCAGUAAGUCAGGUGUGAAAACUCCAGGCUCAACCUGGAGACGCCACCUGAUACUGCUGUGGCUAGAGUCCGGUAGGGGAGCAUGGAAUUCCUGGUGUAGCGGUGAAAUGCGCAGAUAUCAGGAGGAACACCGAUGGCGAAGGCAGGUCUCUGGGACGUUACUGACGCUGAGACGCGAAAGCGUGGGGAGCAAACAGG
rnacentral:rRNA from 1 species